GUGAGCGCUGGCGGCAGGCCUAACCCAUGCAAGUCGAACGGCAGCACAAGAGAGCUUGCUCUCUGGGUGGCGAGUGGCGGACGGGUGAGGAAUGCAUCGGAAUCUGCCCAUUUGUGGGGGAUAACCUCGGGAAACCGGGACUAAUACCGCAUACGACCUACGGGUGAAAGCAGGGGAUCUUCGGACCUUGCGCAGAUGGAUGAGCCGAUGCCGGAUUAGCUAGUUGGAGGGGUAAAGGCCCACCAAGGCGACGAUCCGUAGCUGGUCUGAGAGGAUGAUCAGCCACACUGGGACUGAGACACGGCCCAGACUCCUACGGGAGGCAGCAGUGGGGAAUAUUGGACAAUGGGCGCAAGCCUGAUCCAGCCAUGCCGCGUGUGUGAAGAAGGCCUUCGGGUUGUAAAGCACUUUUGUUGGGAAAGAAAAGCAGCCGGUUAAUACCCGGUUGUCAUGACGGUACCCAAAGAAUAAGCACCGGCUAACUUCGUG
rnacentral:rRNA from 1 species